AAUACGGGAAAAGUGAGCCGAGCAGAAAAGAGCAGGAGCGGGCCGGCCGGGUCCGUUUGCCGUGGCGCGCGGGGGAGCUGAGGAAGGACUCCGCGCGGAACCCAGGAGUGUGGCGUCGCGGAGGUGCGGGAGCGACUGUCGCAGGCCGAGUCUGUGCUCCUCGGAUCUGCACCAGGAGAGCGGGGUCUGGACCCGGAGAGCAGCGGGCCGCGCUUUUCUCUCGCACCCUGCGGCCAACACUAUCACUUAAAACUGGGCCUGGUGGAAUGGAGGGGGUCGCAAUGUCCAAGAAGACUAAUCACCUUCCCCCACUCUGCCUGGACUGCGGCGGUCACCAGUCGCCCGCGGAGAGCUGGCCUAUUUGUCACUCUGCCCUGGGAUUCUCUACUGUGCCGCGAUGGGGGAGGGGACACCCGGACUGCUGAGCCCUUCGGCUGGGUGUGAGUUUUGAAACCCUCUUUUUUUCCCCCUUGAGGAGACUCUCCCCUCUGGGGAUUUGUUCUGGGCCUGAUUGGGUUGCGAGAACUUGUGGAAGACUAGUAGAACCUGGGCCCGGCCUGGUUCGAAUGUCUGUUUAUUUCUCAAAGUGACUCCUCCUACUUAUGCGGGACCUUGUGUGUGCCCCUUAAGAGGACAAGGCUUGAUCCGCGCCCUGACAACCGGCGUUCGGGCUGCGGGAAAGCCCGAUGCGUCCUCCUGGGGUCCAGUGGCUGUAUCCAUACUAAUUUCCUCGGUAACCUUUAAACUCUCUGGAAGCAGCCGCGACGGCGGCUGGUCACGUGAGGCGAGCCCUGGGCUGCUGGGGAAGAAUUUCCUGGGCCAGGGACCAGGACCGGGAAGGCGGGCGGCAGGGAAUGGCUCUGUGCCGAGGGGGACUGGGAACCUGGGAGCGCCGGGCGGGGCGCGCCAGGCCCCGGGCGCCGCGCAGCGGGAACUUCCAGCCUGCGCCCGGGAAGGGGUUCGUCCCGCAGCUCUCCGCCGUGUGAGUGGAAAAAGAAAACCUCCGCCCUCACCCGAGUGCCAAGGUUCUUGGCAUCCAUCAAGAUUUUCACAUAAACGGAAGGCUUCAUUUGCCCUACUCUGCCCCGGCCCUGCUGGGCAGUCCAGCCAGGCAGGGAUUUCUUGAAGUUAGAGAUCCGAACUUAACUAGUUGGUGUUUCUUGAUAUGUCUCCAAUUUUGUCUGAUGGGCCCUAUCUUACGUGCAAAUAGAGUUGGAAUCGGAAAAUCAUAGACAUGAUCCCUUCUUUUUUGGCAUACUAAACAAGAAAUAAAUUUAAAAUUAAAC